rnacentral:rRNA from 1 species
CCUACGGGAGGCAGCAGUAGGGAAUCCUUCACAAUGGGCGAAAGCCUGAUGGAGCAACGCCGCGUGCAGGAUGAAGGCCUUCGGGUUGUAAACUGCUUUUAUAAGCGAGAAAUAUGAUGGUAACUUAUGAAUAAGGAUCGGCUAACUACGUGCCAGCAGCCGCGGUCAUACGUAGGAUCCGAGCAUUAUCCGGAGUGACUGGGUGUAAAGAGUUGCGUAGGUGGCAUAAUAAGUAGCUAGUGAAAUCUGGUGGCUCAACCAUUCAGACUAUUAGCUAAACUGUUAAGCUCGAGACCGUUAGGGGUAACUGGAAUUUCUAGUGUAGGAGUGAAAUCCGUAGAUAUUAGAAGGAACACCAAUAGCGUAGGCAGGUUGCUGGGACGGUUCUGACACUAAGGCACGAAAGCGUAGGGAGCAAACGGGAUUAGAUACCCGUGUAGUC